AAAUUAUUCUCAGCACAGCAUUCCUUGGUGGCCUCAGGGGAAGUUAAGGAGCCCACAAGUAUGUAAUCACUCUGUGCCGCUGCUGCCAGUGCAGCGCCUUCUCCCUCGUGGGGGAGGAAUCUGUCACUCUUCCUUUCAUGGAGCACUGUUUCUGCCACUGCUGCAGUGUGGGUGAAACUCCUGAACCUGGACCUUCUAGCAGCCCACUUUCCAACUUUCUGUCCAUCAGCUGAGACAAUUGGUCCAAGAGACACUGGACAGUUCCACACCCCAAAUCCUGGACCAGAGUGAAGCAAUCAGCUACCCCAGGAUGUGACCAGUACCCAGCUUUCUCAGGUCCCCCAAGACUUCGAUGCCCACA